UGUUAAAAAUUUUAUUCAUUUUUAUUGUAAAAAGUUGACGUGGCUGACAAAAUAACAUGCAAUGUGUAUCUCAUUAUGAUGUACAUGGAUCAAAUUUUAAUAGUAGAAAUUGAUGAUAUUUUUAAUA
rfam:Gossypium hirsutum cultivar TM-1 chromosome 19, whole genome shotgun sequence